rnacentral:rRNA from 1 species
UACGUAGGGUGCAGGCGUUAAUCGGAAUUACUGGGCGUAAAGCGUGCGCAGGCGGUCUUUUAAGUCAGAUGUGAAAUCCCCCGGGCUUAACCUGGGAACUGCGUUUGAAACUGGAAGGCUUGAGUGUGGCAGAGGGGGGUGGAAUUCCACGUGUAGCAGUGAAAUGCGUAGAGAUGUGGAGGAACACCGAUGGCGAAGGCAGCCCCCUGGGCUAACACUGACGCUCAUGCACGAAAGCGUGGGGGAGCAAACAGG